rnacentral:misc_RNA from 1 species
UUUUAUUUAGGUUAUAAAAGUUUCCCCGUGGGGAAUUACGAUGUCGUAAACAAGGUUGCCGUAGGGGAACCUGCGGCUGGAUCACCUCCUUAAUCGAAGAUCUCAGCUUCUUCAUAAGCUCCCACACGAAUUGCUUGAAUCACUGGUUAGACGAUUGGGUCUGUAGCUCAGUUGGUUAGAGCGCACCCCUGAUAAGGGUGAGGUCGGCAGUUCGAAUCUGCCCAGACCCACCAAUUGUUGGUGUGCUGCGUGAUCCGAUACGGGGCCAUAGCUCAGCUGGGAGAGCGCCUGCUUUGCACGCAGGAGGUCAGGAGUUCGAUCCUCCUUGGCUCCACCAUCUAAAACAAUCGUCGAAAGCUCAGAAAUGAAUGUUCGUGGAUGAACAUUGAUUUCUGGUCUUUGCACCAGAACUGUUCUUUAAAAAUUCGGGUAUGUGAUAGAAGUAAGACUGAAUGAUCUCUUUCACUGGUGAUCAUUCAAGUCAAGGUAAAAUUUGCGAGUUCAAGCGCGAAUUUUCGGCGAAUGUCGUCUUCACAGUAUAACCAGAUUGCUUGGGGUUUAUAUAUGGUCGAAAAACCCGGAUUGUUUGGGGGUUAUAUAAUGGGCGACCAA